rnacentral:tRNA from 1 species
GGGGAAAUACUCAAGUGGCUAAAAAAGGCGCCCCUGCUAAGGGUGUAGGUCGUGUAAGCGGCGCGAGAGUUCAAAUCUCUCUUUCUCCGCCA